GGCUCAGGAUGAACGCUAGCGGCAGGCUUAACACAUGCAAGUCGAGGGGCAUCGGGAGUAGCAAUACUUGCCGGCGACCGGCGCAAGGGUGCGUAACGCGUGAGCAACAUGCCCGUAUCAGGGGGAUAAUCCAUGGAAACGUGGUCUAAUACCCCAUAGUAAUUAUGUAAGGCAUCUUAUAUAAUUUAAAGCUUUGGUGGAUACGGAUUGGCUCGCGUGACAUUAGCUAGAUGGUAAGGUAACGGCUUACCAUGGCUACGAUGUCUAGGGGUUCUGAGAGGAAGGUCCCCCCACACUGGAACUGAGACACGGUCCAGACUCCUACGGGAGGCAGCAGUGAGGAAUAUUGGACAAUGGAUGGAAAUCUGAUCCAGCCAUGCCGCGUGCAGGAAAGACGGCCCUAUGGGUUGUAAACUGCUUUUGUAUGGGAGCAAUAAGGGCUACGCGUAGUCCGAUGAGAGUACCAUACGAAUAAGCACCGGCUAACUCCGUGCCAGCAGCUGC
rnacentral:rRNA from 1 species